AAUGCCUUGUGUCAUACAAUGAAAACCUACUCUGAUACAGAUGGGAAAUACUAGCACAAAAAGUUCCCAAACCAAGAGUAAUGCGGGUAUACUCAAGCCACUUUUGGAAGAAAAUAUGAACACUAUAGUGUAAUGCAUAUCUGCAAUCUUAACUUCGGACUCAGAGUUCACUAUGAAUCUUUUGGUUUCUAAUGUUGUUAAAGUAGCUUCUUGAAUUAGUAUUAUGUACAUGUUCUUAUCUGUAUUUGUUGUGUGAUUGGUUAUAUUAUAGGCUCUCUUAACCUUAAGUUCCAUAUCACAAGGAGAUUUUCGUCCUACUAUCAUACUAUCACCUUUUUGCAGAUAAGGAAUAGGUUCAAAAGGUGCCAAGUUUUGCUAAGCUAAAAAAAAACCCGGUUGCUGAAAAACGGGUUUAGAUUUUUUAGUUUCACAAUAGAUCCCGGUUUCUUAAUGAAAAACGGGUCUUAUAAAGUUUAUCCUUUUAAUUCCGGUUUUUGUAUUUUAGAACCCGGUUUUUUAAACAACCGGAUCUUAUGGUGUGCCUUCGCGCUCAUUUGUAAUAGCGAACAUAUAACCCGGUUCUUUACUAUAAACCGUGACAUACCAUGAUUUUCAAUAUAAAGCCCGGUUUUUGCA